UACGUAGGGUGCGAGCGUUGUCCGGAAUUAUUGGGCGUAAAGAGCUCGUAGGCGGUGUGUCACGUCGGCCGUGAAACCUGCAGCUUAACUGUGGGCGUGCGGUUGAUACGGGCGGGCUAGAGUUCGGUAGGGGAGACUGGAAUUCCUGGUGUAGCGGUGAAAUGCGCAGAUAUCAGGAGGAACACCGGUGGCGAAGGCGGGUCUCUGGGCCGAUACUGACGCUGAGGAGCGAAAGCGUGGGGAGCAAACAGG
rnacentral:rRNA from 1 species